AAAACAGCAAAGAUUCUGACAGGAUGAUUUUAGAAAACAGUGUUGUCCAGCACCAUAUCCUCAGUGUGAUUAACAAAAGUCAUUUGUUCAGACUCACAUCGCAUAUCCCUGUCCCGUCACAGGGAGCACCUAAAAGUCCACAAAACCCAGCACCCGGAUCUUGGUUUCUAAUAUCAUCCUCUAACAAAGGGAACCAGAGCUUCUUGGAGAAAUGGCUGAUUCCAGAGUUGGGGCAGGACAUGGGCAAGAGGAACCUGGAGCAUCUUGUAGUGCUAGACAUACUAUUAAAACAUCAUCAUGUACAGAAGCCUGGCUCGCCUACCGGAGGAUGAGACAACCGAGAGUGGAGAUGAGUGAACCCAGCUGAAGCUCUCUAGACCAAUCAGCCUGCUGCUGACCCACUAAAUGACCGUGUGCAUGUGAGGGGCCACAGACAAGACCAGCAGGAGAACUGCCCAGCGGGGCCCAGGCCAAAUUGUUGACCUACAG
rnacentral:lncRNA from 1 species